rfam:Asian citrus Psyllid, Diaphorina citri - Florida Strain, whole genome shotgun sequence.
GCUCCCAUGGCGUAGUGGUCACUGCGCUCCCCUUGCACGCGGGAGACCCGGGUUCGAUUCCCGGCGGGGUCA